rnacentral:rRNA from 1 species
UUGGAGGGCAAGUCUGGUGCCAGCAGCCGCGGUAAUUCCAGCUCCAAUAGCGUAUAUUAAAGUUGUUGCAGUUAAAAAGCUCGUAGUUGAAUUUCGGGAUUGACACAUCGGUCGUGCCUUAAGGGGUAUGAACUGGUGUAGUCAAUUUCUCACCUUCUGGAGAACCACGAUGCCCUUAAUUGGGUGUCGCGGGGAACCAGGACCUUUACUUUGAAAAAAUUAGAGUGUUUAAAGCAGGCUCACGCUUGAAUACAUUAGCAUGGAAUAAUGAAAUAGGACGUUUGAUUCUAUUUUGUUGGUUUCUAGGAUCGACGUAAUGAUUAAUAGGGAUAGUUGGGGGCAUUAGUAUUCAAUUGUCAGAGGUGAAAUUCUUGGAUUUAUUGAAGACUAACUACUGCGAAAGCAUUUGCCAAGGAUGUUUUCAUUAAUCAAGAACGAAAGUUAGGGGAUCGAAGACGAUCAGAUACCGUCGUAGUCUUAACCAUAAACUAUGCCGACUAGGGAUCGGAUGAUGUUAAUUUUAUAAUGACUCAUUCGGCGCCUUACGGGAAAC